UACGAAGGGGGGCUAGCGUUGAUCGGAAUUACUGGGCGUAAAGCGCGCGUAGGCGGCUUUUCAAGUCGAUUGUGAAAUCCCCGGGCUUAACCUGGGAACUGCAGUCGAGACUGUCUAGCUAGAGUAUGGGAAGGAAGGAGUAGUAUUAGGUGUAGCGGUGAAAUGCGUAGAUAUCUGAAGGAACAUCAGUGGCGAAAGCGACUUCCUGGACCAAUACUGACGCUCAUGUGCGAAAGCGUGGGGAGCAAACAGG
rnacentral:rRNA from 1 species